GUAGGUGGCAAGCGUUGUCCGGAAUUAUUGGGCGUAAAGCGCGCGCAGGGCGGUUCUUUAAGUCUGAUGUGAAAGCCCACGGCUCAACCGUGGAGGGUCAUUGGAAACUGGAGAACUUGAGUACAGAAGAGGAAAGCGGAAUUCCACGUGUAGCGGUGAAAUGCGUAGAGAUGUGGAGGAACACCAGUGGCGAAGGCGGCUUUCUGGUCUGUAACUGACGCUGAGGCGCGAAAGCGUGGGGAGCAAACAGGAUUAGAUACCCUGGUAGUCCACGCCGUAAACGAUGAGUGCUAAGUGUUAGGGGGGUUUCCGCCCCUUAGUGCUGCAGCUAACGCAUUAAGCACUCCGCCUGGGGGGUACGGCCGCAAAGGCUG
rnacentral:rRNA from 1 species